GAUGAACGCUGGCGGCGUGCCUAAUACAUGCAAGUCGAGCGAAUGGAUUAAGGGCUUGCUCUUAUGAAGUUAGCGGCGGACGGGUGAGUAACACGUGGGUAACCUGCCCAUAAGACUGGGAUAACUCCGGGAAACCGGGGCUAAUACCGGAUAACAUUUUGAACCGCAUGGUUCGAAAUUGAAAGGCGGCUUCGGCUGUCACUUAUGGAUGGACCCGCGUCGCAUUAGCUAGUUGGUGAGGUAACGGCUCACCAAGGCAACGAUGCGUAGCCGACCUGAGAGGGUGAUCGGCCACACUGGGACUGAGACACGGCCCAGACUCCUACGGGAGGCAGCAGUAGGGAAUCUUCCGCAAUGGACGAAAGUCUGACGGAGCGACGCCGCGUGAGUGAUGAAGGCUUUCGGGUCGUAAAGCUCUGUUGUUAGGGAAGAACAAGUGCUAGUUGAAUAAGCUGGCACCUUGACGGUACCUAACCAGAAAGCCACGGCUAACUACGUGCCAGCAGCCGCGGUAA
rnacentral:rRNA from 1 species